rnacentral:rRNA from 1 species
AUUGAACGCUGGCGGCAGGCCUAACACAUGCAAGUCGAGCGGAUGAGUGGAGCUUGCUCCAUGAUUCAGCGGCGGACGGGUGAGUAAUGCCUAGGAAUCUGCCUGGUAGUGGGGGACAACGUUUCGAAAGGAACGCUAAUACCGCAUACGUCCUACGGGAGAAAGUGGGGGAUCUUCGGACCUCACGCUAUCAGAUGAGCCUAGGUCGGAUUAGCCAGUUGGUGAGGUAAAGGCUCACCAAGGCGACGAUCCGUAACUGGUCUGAGAGGAUGAUCAGUCACACUGGAACUGAGACACGGUCCAGACUCCUACGGGAGGCAGCAGUGGGGAAUAUUGGACAAUGGGCGAAAGCCUGAUCCAGCCAUGCCGCGUGUGUGAAGAAGGUCUUCGGAUUGUGAAGCACUUUAAGUUGGGAGGAAGGGCAGUAAGUUAAUACCUUGCUGUUUUGACGUUACCAACAGAAUAAGCACCGGCUAACUUCGUGCCAGCCGCCGCGGUAACAC